rnacentral:rRNA from 1 species
AUACGGAGGGUGCAAGCGUUGUUCGGAAUCACUGGGCGUAAAGGGCGCGCAGGCGGUUUGGUAAGUCAGAUGUGAAAGCCCACGGCUCAACCGUGGAAGUGCAUUUGAAACUGCCAGACUUGAGUACCAGAGGGGAAAGUGGAAUUCCCGGUGUAGAGGUGAAAUUCGUAGAUAUCGGGAGGAAUACCGGUGGCGAAGGCGACUUUCUGGCUGGAUACUGACGCUGAGGCGCGAAAGCGUGGGGAGCAAACAGGAUUAGAAACCCUGGUAGUCC